CGGGCUCUUUUAGUAAAAGGAUUCUUUCAUGCCAGACACCACAAGAGUAGGAAUGCUCUCUUAUUACCUUGAGCUACAAAAUAUUAACUGCGACUCAAUAAAAUUCUUAAUUCAAUACGAAGUGGUGAUGCACAGAAUCUGAAAGAAGCUGAAUGCUGGCAUCCAGCAUUGGCAAGGAUGUUUACCUGGUAGACACCAGGGUAGGUGGAGCAUACCACCAAACAAUAAGGGAUGAACAGACAGAAGAGAAGCAGCCACUUUUAAGGACCAUCCUAUUGGUGGCCCAAGCUCCAAAGGUGCAGAAGAAGACAGCUUGGCUGAGAGGCUCCCAUCAGAGAAAAUCAGUUUCUCCGUGGGUUGAGGAAGCACCUUCCUGGGCACCUGAGAUGAACCCAAGCGAGCUUUCCAAGUGGACAAAAAUUCACCAGGAGCUCUGAAAAAGUCAGGAAGGGGAUGACUAAGAGCGAAGUUUGGGGGAAAAUAAGCAGAAUUCCAGGAAGUCAAUCAGGAAAUGAGAUAGGAGUUUCCGUUGUGGCUCAGCAGGUUAAGAGCCCGACCCCGUCUCCAUGAGGAUGCAGGAGACUUGAUCCCUGACCUCGCUCAGUGGGUUAAGGAUCCGGCAUUACCAUGAACUGUGGUGUAGGUCGCAGAUGUGGCUUGGAUGUGGUGUAGACCGGCACCUACAGCUCAGGUUUGACCCUCUAGCUUGGGAGCUUCCAGAUACCACAGGUGCAGCACUAAAAAAUAAAUAAAUAAAUAAACAAACAAAUGAAUAAAUAGGGUGGUCUGAGGCCCCAUGGAAAUGCCCAUCUGAGGGCAGCCUGGCAUGAAUGUGGGGGAGGCAGGACCAACAGCAAACCGGGAACAGACUUUAGCAAAACAGGAUUUGCUCAAGUGUCAGGAUAGGCAUUGGGGAAGGUUUUCUUGGCUGUUUGGGGACAGGUUCUUGGUGUCAGGGAAGCAGAGCUUCUACUGAUCUCUGAAAUUGAUUGUCUUUUAAAGGGCCAGGCUCACAAAGCCCUAUUAAAAUAAAGACCUAUGAAUACUUUGAAUAAAUAUACUCCAUAAAAUUAAGAAAACCUAAUAUUAGGCUAAAUCAAAAAAAAAAAUCAGACUGUGAAUGGGUACGUUAGCAUUUUAAUAAAUGAAAUGGCCCACACCAGUCUGUCUCUGCCAGUCUUUGUGCUGGUGUGUCAGACAUGUCUUUCUUAUUACCAUUUAGGAAACAUUAUAGAAGCUUCGGAACUUCACAAGUCAUCACCUAAUUUGACUUCUUAGUGGGAAAGGAAAAGAAAAAUCAUCCUGACAAAUGUACCCCCAUGAAAGCCAAGUACUGAAAAAGAAAGAAUGCUUGCAAGGUUCCCGUCAGGUCCCAUUCUCCUCCAGAAAACUAUCUCACAGGUGCCCAAGUGCAGAUUUUUCCAUUGGUGCAAACCACCUCUCAGACGCUCAGCUAGGCCAGCCCACAAGGCCAGCCCCAGCUUCCAAGAUGAGUAAGAUCGGUGAGUUGGCCCCAGCUUAGGAGUAGGCUUUCAUUUGUGUUUACAAUUCAACCAGCAAACACCCAGUUCAAGAGACACCCAUGAGAUGGGGGAGUGAACGUGCCCCCCUGCUGCCCUGGGGACUCUGGAAUGGUAGAGGUGGUCUCCACAGAGCAAGGCAAGCAAGGAGUUCCUCGGUGUAGACAAGCCCAAAACCUCUGGCUGGUGAGUGCAGCUAAGAAGGAAACGCAGGAGAAGACCCUCCCACAACAGCUGCCCCAUUACAGGCUUCAUGGCUCCAUUUUCUUGUUCAUAAUUGGGUCUUCUAAACGCUCACUGCACCAGUCCAGGCAAUGGGCUACCAAAGACUGGAGCCCACGUCACAUUUUGAAAGAUGAACAUGCCAGGGAGUUCCCAUGGUGGCUCAGCGGGUUAAGAACCUGACUAGUAUCCAUAAGGAUGCAGGUUCGAUCCCUGACCUCAAUCAGUGUGUUAAGGAUCUAGUGUCGCCUUGAGCUGUGGCAUAGUCUGGCAGCUGUAGCUCCAGUUCAUACCCUAGCCUGGGAACAUCCAUUGCCACAGGUACAGCCCUAAAAAGUUAAAAAUUAAAACAUAAAAAAAAAUUUUUUAAUAGCAUGACAACAAUGGACAGUCCCCAGACAACUCUCCAAGCAUCUGUGUAAAGAUCCGGAAAGAAAGCUGAAAUUCCUACCAAUUUUCAUAGGAGUGGGAAAUGGUGGGAAGAACUAGUAUAAAAGCCCCUUUCAUACCUGACGCCUUGUCCAACAUCCACUGAACUCAACACAGGCUUCCACUGAACAUCAUAGAAUGCCCAGACCAUGACGUCACACCGUGGCAAGAAGUCCAGGCUGCUGGGUCCGGGUAGGUCAGCUUUCCAGAACAUACUGGAAUGGUUUAGAUUUUGUGUUAGGCGCUAGAGACCACAAAGCCAAAUAUUCCUAUUCUCCAGUGCUUAGGAAUCUGUCCUGAAGCAUUCACCCAGCCAAUGAUUCUAGGGAAAGCAAAGCCCACACUGGGUUUUAAGCUGCCAGGAUGAAAUGACACGCAGAGGGAAAAUGAGGGCACUGCGCUAAAGGCAAGGCUAAGAGAACAGGGCGUGUGUAACAUGGGAACGACGGCCGGGAAGCAGGAGCGCAACAAUAGGAGAUGCAACCAGCAAGAGAAACAAAGGGCAGCCAGACAAUAUUUCACCAAUACAUUAGGAGCAAGACAAAGGAGAAUGGAGACCCGCUAAUUAGUGGGGAGGGAAAACAAAUAGCAGAUGCAUCAGAAGACUUGAGCUCUUAAUACCUAUUAUGCUCCAGGCUUCACAAAAAUGGUUAGCUAUCAUCAGACGCUGAAUAUAAACCACGGGAAUGAGCACAUGGAGGGGAAAGGGAAGUUUAAAUGGAAACCAAACAGAUUAGUAACUACUUAGUCAAGCUAGAUGGUUUCCAAUCAGGACCUGACAAGAGCCAAUGUGCUAUGGUAACAAAAUUAGCUUCCGAAAAGCAAGUUCUUACAAAAAAUAUUCUGUCCAAGGCAUGGGGAGAUUUCUGGUGGCUGCGUCUGAGGCAGUUGCAGGGUCAGCAUCGAGCAAGAGGUGGUAAGAAGUGGCCGGAAAGGGGGAGAGGAACACAGGUAUCCCUGCUGCGUGGCGGUCAAGGUGAGUCAAGGAGACAGAGUCAUCGGCUCAGACCAAGUGCAGAGAAGAGGGAAACUCAACCAGCAAGGGCACAGGGAUGAGGUGUGGCUAGUGCCACAUCCUGAAACACACCUUCCAUUUCUGCAGAAGGUGGCAGGCACUAGACCAGCAUAGGCAAAGGUUGGAGUUUGGGGUGGACCCGCGGAGCUGCAGAUGGAGAGGAUAAGAGGACGGCAAAGGCUUGGGAAGCCAAGUUAAGGUUUGGUGCCUUUAGUUCUGGGAUGACUAAUAGCUAAAAGAGGAGGUCCCUGGUGUCUCAGCAGGUUAAGGAUCCGGCAUUGUCACAGCUGUUGGUCUGGUUACUGCUGAAGCUCAGGUUCAUCCUAGCCCAGAAACUUCUACAUGCCUCGGAUGCAGCCAAAAAAAAAAGCUAAAAGAAUUGGCAUCCCUACCUUGUGUCAUGCAUAUGCCAAAUAGUUUGUAUGCUUUUAAAUUUUUUAAUAUUCUCAAUAACCUGAUAGGCUAGGUACUCUAAUUACCUACAUUUUUAUAAACGCUUUAAUUUCCCUGGGCCUCAGCUCCUUCCUGUAAAAGACCUCAAGGUAUGGAGCUUGGUUGCCAUGAGAAAGGAAAGUGGCUCCAUUGAUUGAUCUGCUUCUGUGCUCACCCUAAGCUGCAUAAUCUAUGCAACCUCUUUGAUUCCUUAGCUAAAGCAAAGAUGCAAAAUUUAGUUUAUUAAAUGAAUUCGUUACCUACAUGUGACUCGUAGGGUUCUGCUGAGAUGCCCACACCACUUUUCUUUAAGUCAUAAACAGAUGUGUUACUUUAAUAAAUGAAAACGAUGAGCCUCUGUAUACUUAUUGCACCUUCCUCUAAUGAAGGAGAAAUGAACAGGGUACCUGGGCAGUGAUGGUCCACACUUGGCAGCAGCCAGUGAAAGAGAAUGGCCCCAGCCUAUCUAGGGGCUCGCAAAGUGGCAGCAUCUUACUGAGGUCACUUUCAUCUGAAACCAGAAUGACCAAAAUGAGCCAGUCCCACACAGUUGCUGCACCCUUGGCAGAUAUUGCUAAAUCACCCCCAGAGAACCCUCGCUUCAGGCUCACCUAGGGCCCCCAGAGUUCUUCUCCUUUCCAGAAUAGUCUUUCUUCUGUUUGUCAAAAUACUCACAAGUACUCUAUGGUUAACUCUUCUUGGUAUCAAGGUAUCUAGGGCAUCACAUUAACUGUCAGUAGGAUGCUUGGUGAACAGGGACCCAGGAAAUGCACUCCCUGGCUUGUUCCUUUUUUUUUCUUUUUUUUUUAAUUCAUUCAUUCAUUCAUUCAUUCAUUCAAGAAAUACCAGGAAACUCAAACAGGCACAAUGGAUUACCAUAUCACUGUCAAUCUCCGGCAUGCUGAUUUCAAUUAUCAGCCUAUUUAAAUUGCAUAUAGUGAAGCAACAAUUCCCAAACUCGGAACUGCAAUUGGAACAUCUCCCCAUAACACAUGUGAAUCCUAUAGGGAACUCCAUGGUCUGUGUUUUUGAAACGUCAAUAGCAUAUUCCUGUUGGGGGACCAGAGGUCGUACAUUUAUUCCUGAAAUGACGUUAACACAAUGGGUGGACCUAGAUUAAAUUUGGGACAGGUCAGAAAAACAGAAAGGACGCUCCAUAUAGAGGUCUAUGCUGAAGAGUCGAAACUCUUUCAAUGUGGACUCUAGGCUCGUGGGAAUUCAGACCGGUCCCCCACCAGGCAUUGAGAGGGAGGCGCUGGCAGUCAACCGUGACCUAGCAGAUAAAUUCUCGUGGACUCCCAUUAUCCAAUCCUCCCUUAUAUAUGUACCAUUGAGUCAUUUUAGGCUGCUGAGUUGUAAUGCAAUUAAUUAGGUUACAGUCCUCUUUCAUAACCAUCAAGAACUGACUGCAUGUGUAUCUUUCCAUGGAUAACUGGGAACACUUCUGAUACGUUACAUGCAUUUAAAUUAUUUCUCAGAGUGGGUUAGUCUGCGCAUGGCCACAUACAUCCAUUGGUACUUCAACUUGUAUCGACUGAACCAUCAGAAGCUGACUUGUCCCCAGAAUUUGGAGGCGUAUGACUAUUGUGCUAUGUACACUUAACUGUAUGUUGCUGGAGAACUGGUGAAACUUGAACUUAAUAUAAAACCAGUAUGAAAGACCCCUUUAGCCUCUGCCAUCAAAGCUGCCAUUUCCCAGAGCUAAAAUAAGAAGUUGUUCCUUGUGGCGGGACUGGGGACAUCAUGCGCCCUCCAACCUCCUUUCCACACUUAUUCACUUAGCAAAUGUUCAUUGAAGUCAAUUCUUCCAUGACACGAGGGCUGAAGCCAUCAAAGCAGACACAGUGCACCGUCUGCCUUCACGUCGCUCAGGGUCCAGAUGCCUGAAGGUGAUGAUGGAGGGGUGCAGACAUGAAGUCAGAGCCUCCAACACAGCAGUGAAGGAAUUACCUACAAUUUCCCUUUAGUAAGUGAAAGAUAGGAUUUUAACCUGGUUGGACCCUCAGUACAACAGGAGCGUCCUAAACCUGUGAAUGGCACCAUCCAGUGUCUGGGGUAAGUUCCUCGGCCAGCAACAGUACUAUAGCCCCAAUCUUUGUAAAUAAACUGCAUGUGAUAAUGAUUAAGACAGAUUUAGUUUCAAUUUUGCACAAGUAGGAGAUGUACGUGAAGCUAGGUAAUCUGCAUGUUCUUACUUAACCCAAAAGGCUCUCCAUGAAGGAAGUCUUCUCCAGCGCGUACUUCUAGCUGUCUACAGCUAGACGGCUUGAAAAUAACAAGAAAUGUAGAAAGAUCAAAGUAAAAUAAAAUGAAAAGAGUAAGAAAGAACUAGAUGGCAAAGUAUAUAUGGACUCUUGAGAGAGAUUUUGCUUGCUAGCUAAACAGGUUUCUUAGAGAGCAAAGUUCAUCAUAAAGUCUGAGAGAGGAGGUUUCUUCUGGGGUAAGUGCAGGUGCAUGCGCCUCUCUCCAUGUACGUAUGUACAUAAAUCUAAAAGAAUGUGUUCUUCUCUUGGGAGAUGCAGAGAUUUUGAGGCUGCCAUCAGUUCCAAUUAGAAUGAACACAGGAUGGGCAGACUCUUGAAUAGAUGCCUAGUUAAUAACAGAGGCUUGCGAUCCAGGGAGUGUGGCCAUUUCUACACUUUGACCACAGGAUACUGGCAAGUGCAUUGAAGGCAAUACAUGACCUUAAGUGGCUUCAAAGGAGAUUUUGCUUUUGGAAACAAUGAUUUAGGAGACAGCUUUUAUAAAUGAUAGAAUUUCUUGGAGUUCCCAUCGUGGCUCAGUGGUUAACGGAAACAUGCGGGUUCGAUCCCUGGCCUUGCUCAGUGGGUUAAGGAUCAGGGGGUUGCCAUGAGCUGUGGUGUAGUCACAGACGCGGCUUGGAUCCCAUGUUGCUGUAGCUCUGGUGUGGGCUGGUGGCUACAGCUCUGAUUGGACCCCUGGGAACUUCCAUAUGCUGUGGGUGCGGCCCUAGAAAAUACAAAAAG
rnacentral:lncRNA from 1 species